rnacentral:rRNA from 1 species
AUUGAACGCUGGCGGCAUGCCUUACACAUGCAAGUCGAACGGCAGCACGGGUGCUUGCACCUGGUGGCGAGUGGCGAACGGGUGAGUAAUAUAUCGGAACGUACCUUAUUGUGGGGGAUAACGCAGCGAAAGCUGUGCUAAUACCGCAUAAUCCCUUAGGGGGAAAGCGGGGGACCGUAAGGCCUCGCGCAAUUAGAGCGGCCGAUACCUGAUUAGCUAGUUGGUGAGGUAAAGGCUCACCAAGGCAACGAUCAGUAGCUGGUCUGAGAGGACGAUCAGCCACACUGGGACUGAGACACGGCCCAGACUCCUACGGGAGGCAGCAGUGGGGAAUUUUGGACAAUGGGGGCAACCCUGAUCCAGCAAUGCCGCGUGAGUGAAGAAGGCCUUCGGGUUGUAAAGCUCUUUUGUCAGGGAAGAAACAGCAGCUCUAACACAGUCUGCGAAUGACGGUACCUGAAGAAUAAGCA